GUGCCAGCAGCCGCGGUAAUACGAAGGGUGCAAGCGUUACUCGGAAUUACUGGGCGUAAAGCGUGCGUAGGUGGUUGUUUAAGUCUGUUGUGAAAGCCCUGGGCUCAACCUGGGAAUUGCAGUGGAUACUGGGCGACUAGAGUGUGGUAGAGGGUAGUGGAAUUCCUGGUGUAGCAGUGAAAUGCGUAGAGAUCAGGAGGAACAUCCAUGGCGAAGGCAGCUACCUGGACCAACACUGACACUGAGGCACGAAAGCGUGGGGAGCAAACAGGAUUAGAUACCCUGGUAGUCC
rnacentral:rRNA from 1 species